rnacentral:rRNA from 1 species
AGUGAGCGCUGGCGGUAGGCCUAACACAUGCAAGUCGAACGGCAGCACAGUAAGAGCUUGCUCUUACGGGUGGCGGGUGGCGGACGGGUGAGGAAUACAUCGGAAUCUACUUUUUCGUGGGGGAUAACGUAGGGAAACUUACGCUAAUACCGCAUACGACCUACGGGUGAAAGCAGGGGAUCUUCGGACCUUGCGCGAUUGAAUGAGCCGAUGUCGGAUUAGCUAGUUGGCGGGGUAAAGGCCCACCAAGGCGACGAUCCGUAGCUGGUCUGAGAGGAUGAUCAGCCACACUGGAACUGAGACACGGUCCAGACUCCUACGGGAGGCAGCAGUGGGGAAUAUUGGACAAUGGGCGCAAGCCUGAUCCAGCCAUACCGCGUGGGUGAAGAAGGCCUUCGGGUUGUAAAGCCCUUUUGUUGGGAAAGAAAAGCAGCAGGUUAAUACCCCGCUGUUCUGACGGUACCCAAAGAAUAAGCACCGGCUAACUUCGUG